UACGAAGGUGGCAAGCGUUGUUCGGAUUUACUGGGCGUACAGGGAGCGUAGGCGGUUGGGUAAGCCCUUCGUGAAAUCUCCGGGCCUAACCCGGAAAGUGCGGAGGGGACUGCUCGGCUAGAGGAUGGGAGAGGAGCGCGGAAUUCCCGGUGUAGCAGUGAAAUGCGUAGAGAUGCGGAGGAACACCGAUGGCGAAGGCAGCCCCCUGGGCUAACACUGACGCUCAGGCACGAAAGCGUGGGGAGCAAACAGG
rnacentral:rRNA from 1 species